UUUUCAUAUUAUUGAACGAAA
rnacentral:piRNA from 1 species